AAUAACUGAAUUAGCAUAUUAUGCAAUGAAAAGGAAAUUUUUACAUAGGGAGUCAAUGAGAUGUGUGAAUGAGAUAUGCAUGAAGUCUUUGAAGCAGUUGACUUAUUUAUAAUUAGUUUUAGGUGUGUCGACCCCUGAAAUCACUUCUGGGAAGAUGUACUGGGCUACAUAUUAAAAUUGUUUUCUUAACAGAAAGGUAAGGUCCUUGUACCUUGCUACAAGCAUUUGGGAACUUUACAUUGCAUAGAUAGAUAUACUUAUAUAUAUAAUACAAAACAACUUCAUGGGUAACCAUAGCACCUGAGAUUCAAUAUAUAUUUAUAUUCUUUUAUGAAGAUUACCCAUAUAGUCAAAAUAAUAAAUGUUGUAAAGGAGAAGUGAGGUUGAUUCAAAAGCUUGAACCAGGAGGCCCAAAGUGAUGAUAUUUAUCUAUUCCCAUUGACAUCUAAAUGUGCAUUUGCUCAUACUUGCAGUCACCCCUGAAAUCAUCAUGGGUCCAUAAGUUUAAUGGAAUUUGGUGAAAAUGAUUAUGAGAAGUUGAGUUUCAAAAUCUGAAAGUGUAUGUGUAAAUGUAUGUAUAUAUAUAUAUAUAUAUUCAUGAAUUUGAAAUCUUACAUUGUGGCCAAGUUUAUCUUUGAACACUAGCUCCAACAAUUUUCUUUUCUUUUCAGAAUUAUCAAAAUUGUAAGUGGUUUGAAACAAAUUCCUUUUUUAUUUUUAUGUUUACUUCUUCCUCUUAUCGUUGAUUCCAUCUGAGAUCCACAUGAGGGAUGAAGAGAAGCCACAGGUCACAACCCCAUUGGUGGAACAAGAACAAAAGAUUCUUUUAUUCCAUUAUUGUUCCCCACAUGAAACAAUGCAAAAAUGCUUUGGGUCUGUACAACACAUUGUGUGUUGACCUAAAAGGCCUUUUUAGAAUGCAGUCCAAGAGUUGCUUGCUCUCUUGCUCCCAGAGGUGCCUUGAAAGUGAAGCAUGAAAAGAAAACAAAGCAAAAUAAAGAGUUGGAGCUUCAAACAAGGAGGAAAAAUGGGAAAAAAUAAAAUAAAAUAAAAUAAGAAAUCCUUACAUGAAUAGUAAUAAAGCUAGAUAAUAGAGACCUUUUUACAAAUGUGUGCUCACUGCAAACAGAAGAGGAAAAAGAAGACUAAAAUGUUAUUAAAAAAAAUCAAAAAUCAAAAUCAAAAUCAAACAAAGAGAAUAUGACAGAACAUGACAUUAGAUGAAUGCACAUUUUGGCCUCUUCUUCCACAUCAUCACUAAUUUUUAUUGGCAGAAUAUUAUGAAAAACUCCAUUCAUAUCAAUACAAAAACAACAAGAGAGUAUAGAAGAGAAUAAAUAUGGGUUUUAAUGUAUGACAGCCUUCCAUUCCUUCCUUCUGUGUAACAUGUUUGAAGCAAGUACUUUAGUGUUUUGGUGUCUAUUACUCAAGGAAAACCCAUGAACUUCCAUGAAUAAUAUUUAUUCAAGUAUAGCUCAUUAAAGUAACACAUCAUGAUGUUCUGGUGAAUGUUAAAAACAAAAGAGUAUAGGAAAUUUAUCUACCCAAUAAAGUGGAAUAAGUAUAAGUUGAAUUAAUUGAAAUCUUAACUACAAAGUCAAUUCCAUUCCAAAUAGUGGUUUGAAAUUCGAAGUCCAUAAUUAGUCAUACUUUUAAGUCUGGUUUAUAAAAGAACUUUAGGUUUUAAGCUAGAUUUUUAUUACAAGUCCUGUAACGAUUCUAAUUUUUUUUAAAAAAAAAUACUUGAUAAUCCAAAAUUUUAUCAAAAUUUUAAGGAAACUGUUAGGUGGACACCCUUUUGUGCCAUGCACUCUCAUACUUACACAAAAAAAAUCUUAAUAACACUUAAAGAAUUUAGUAUAAGUUUACAACAGAAGAUUUGUAUGCAAAGGUUUUUGAUUUAUGGUUUUUUUUUUUUUUUUUUUUUUUUUUU
rnacentral:lncRNA from 1 species